rnacentral:rRNA from 1 species
UACGUAGGGGGCAAGCGUUGUCCGGAAUCAUUGGGCGUAAAGAGCGUGUAGGCGGCCCGAUAAGUCCGCCGUGAAAGUCCAGGGCUCAACCCUGGAAUGCCGGUGGAAACUGUCGGGCUGGAGUCCGGAAGAGGCGAGUGGAAUUCCUGGUGUAGCGGUGAAAUGCGCAGAUAUCAGGAGGAACACCAAUGGCGAAGGCAGCUCGCUGGGACGGUAACUGACGCUGGAGACGCGAAAA